rnacentral:rRNA from 1 species
UACGAAGGGGGCUAGCGUUGCUCGGAAUUACUGGGCGUAAAGCGCACGUAGGCGGGUUCUUAAGUCGGUGGUGAAAUCCUGGAGCUCAACUCCAGAACUGCCUUCGAUACUGGGAAUCUUGAGUCCGGGAGAGGUGAGUGGAACUGCGAGUGUAGAGGUGAAAUUCGUAGAUAUUCGGAAGAACACCAGUGGCGAAGGCGGCUCACUGGCCCGUUACCGACGCUCAGGCGCGACAGCGUGGGGAGCAAACAGG